UACGGGGGGGGCAAGCGUUGUUCGGAAUUACUGGGCGUAAAGGGUUUGUAGGUGGCUUGCUAAGUCAGACGUGAAAUCCCUCAGCUUAACUGGGGAACUGCGUCUGAGACUGGCAAGCUUGAGUGCAGGAGAGGAACGCGGAAUUCCGGGUGUAGCGGUGGAAUGCGUAGAGAUCCGGAAGAACACCGGAGGCGAAGGCGGCUUGCUGGGCUCUGUCUGACGCUGAGGCGCGAAAGCGUGGGGAGCGAACAGG
rnacentral:rRNA from 1 species